AGAACGAACGCUGGCGGCAUGCCUAACACAUGCAAGUCGGACGCUUUCGGGGGUUUCGGCCUCCGAGGGAGUGGCGGACGGGUGAGUAGCGCGUGGGAACCUGCCCCUUUGUGGGGGAUAACCGAGGGAAACUUCGGCUAAUACCGCAUGCGCCCGGGGGUAACUCCGGGGAAAGAUUUAUCGCAGGAGGGAGGGGCCCGCGUCGGAUUAGGUAGUUGGUGGGGUAACGGCCUACCAAGCCGGUGAUCCGUAGCUGGUCUGAGAGGAUGAUCAGCCACACUGGGACUGAGACACGGCCCAGACUCCUACGGGAGGCAGCAGUGGGGAAUAUUGGACAAUGGGGGAAACCCUGAUCCAGCCAUGCCGCGUGAGUGAUGAAGGCCUUCGGGUUGUAAAACUCUUUCGACGGGGACGAUAAUGACGGUACCGUAGAAGAAGCUCCGGCUAACUUCGCGCCAGCAGCCGC
rnacentral:rRNA from 1 species